rnacentral:rRNA from 1 species
UACAGAGGGUGCAAACGCUGCUCGGAAUUAUUGGGCGUAAAGCGCACGUAGGCGGCCGAAUAAGUCGGGUGUGAAAGCCCUGGGCUCAACCCAGGAAGUGCACUCGAAACUGCUCGGCUUGAGUAUGGAAGAGGGUUGCGGAAUUCCCGGUGUAGAGGUGAAAUUCGUAGAUAUCGGGAGGAACACCAGUGGCGAAGGCGGCAACCUGGGCCAAUACUGACGCUGAGGUGCGAAAGCGUGGGGAGCAAACAGG